ACAGCAGGACGGUGGUCAUGGAAGUCGAAAUCCGCUAAGGAGUGUGUAACAAUUCACCUGCCGAAUGAACUAGCCCUGAAAAUGGAUGGCGCUAAAGCGUGCGACUUAUACUCAGCCAUCAGCGCGAGACGUAUGUGCUGAUGAGUAGGAGGGCGUGAUGCUCGUAUCGAAGCCUUGGGCGUGAGCCUGGGUGAAACGUGCAUUAGUGCAGAUCUUGGUGGUAGUAGCAACUAUUCAAAUGAGAACUUUGAAGACUGAAGCGGAGAAAGGUUCCAUGUGAACAGCAAUUGGACAUGGGUUAGUCGAUCCUAAGGCUCAGAGUAACUCCGUUAUAAGGCGGGCUUUUUUCGGAAAGCCCCGGUGGCCGAAAGGGAAGAAGGUUAAAAUUCCUUCACCUGGACGUGGAUAACGAGUGGUAACACAAGCAAAACUGGAGACGUCGGCUGGAGUCCCGGGAAGAGUUCUCUUUUCUUGUUAACAGUUCCGCAGGCCCUGGAAUCGGAUUAUCCGGCGAUAGGGUCUGGUGGCUGGGAAAGCAGCUUAAUCUUUGAGCUGUCCGGUGCUCUCCAGACGGCCCUUGAAAAUCCGGUGGCGUGACUUAUUUACACCCCAGGUCGUACUCAUAACCGCAUCAGGUCUCCAAGGUGAGUAGCCUCUAGUCGAUAGAGUAAUGUGGAUAAGGGAAGUCGGCAAAAUAGAUCUGUAACUUAGGGAAAAAGAUUGGGUCUGAGGGUUGGGCCUAGGGGUCUUGGGAACGAAGGAGUAACCUGUGGGCUGUGGCUGCGUAUCUUCACGGAAGCGCGGCUUGGCACGCUGGCCUCUAGAGGGCCCGAGGACGCCUUGUACUUGUACUUGGCUUUCCCUAGUGCGUGGAACAACCAACUCAGAACUGGAGCGGACAAGGGGAAUCCGACUGUUUAAUUAAAACAAAGCAUUGCGAAGGCCGGAGACGGUGUUGACGCAAUGUGAUUUCUG
rnacentral:rRNA from 1 species